CAUCGCAUCCAGCAUAAAAUGACAAGUGCUAAGACUCCACCGGCAUUGUACCCUACCUGCCAUGUCUCGCGUGGCUCGUGGACGGCAUGAAACUCUCAUUGUCCAGGUUUGAAGGAGAGCAGUUGUCCAGCGUGGUUUCGUUUAAUGUGAGUCUCUCCGCGGCGUUCAAUGACACUGAGCGUAGAGGGUGGAGAGGAUUACAGAGCGCGCAAACGCAGCAGCAGAUGCGCUACAACCGUUGUGUUUUAAGCACAGCCACUGAGCCACUGCCCGCUGUAAGAAUCCAUCUCUGACUGGCUUGUGGUGUCAUCUGCGGAGGAGAAGACAGACAUGAUGAGCUGCAGAACAGGCCUGACUUGAGACGACCCCAGGCUUCCUCAGAGCAGGGUCCAGCUCUCUAGUCUGCACACAGAUACAGCCUGAGGAGAAGUCCACACUGCCAGUAUGGUUCAUCUGCCCACUAGCUCUGUCUGAGAGAGGGGGGGAGAGAAAAAGAUGGGGGGUUCAGCAAAAGAGAGCAACAUAUAAAAUAUUAUGGGAGAAAUAGAGUGAAAUACAGAGACAGAGAGAUGGGAGAAGAGGAGACAAGGGAGAGUAAGAAAGAGAAGAGGACUGGCUUGCCUGAAGCUGAGUGAGCUUAUUAUAAUGUAAAUGUAAUCUGAAGUGUGUGUGUUUCUCUCCAAACCUGGGGCUUGUUGGAUCUGUCUCUCCACGGCUGCACAGAACCUCUCUGCCUCUGCCUCAUCUGCAAAGUUCAGGCCCGCCUGGCAGUCCUAAACAAACACACACAUCAAGGACAAGAACAAUAACCUUUUCAGAGCUAUGCUAUUAGCCAAAGCCUUUUUAGAGCCAGUGCUAUUAUGAGCAUGUUACAGAACCAACCAACCAAUGAACUCACAUAACCCUGUAGGCCUAACCCUAACCCUAGCCCCACACCCUGGCUCAACCCUAACCCUAGCCAUUAACCUAACCCCAACCCUAGCAUAACCCUAACCGUAGUCUCAACACUAACCCUAUCACUAGCUUAAUAUCCACACACUGGCUCAACCGUAGCCUCAGCUCUAACCCUAGCUUUGUGUCCAUACCAGGCUCAACCCUAACCCUAAACAUUAACCUAACCCCAAACCUAGGAUAACCCUAACCCUAGCAUAACCCUCAACCCUAACCCUAUCACUAGCUUAAUAUCCACACACCUGCUCAACCCUAGCUUCAUGUCUACCCCAGGCUCAGCCCUAACCCUAGCUUCAUGUCCACAUCCUGUUUCAACUCUAAUCCUAAUCCUGUUUCAACUCUAACCCUAACCCAUUUAAUAGCAGAAUGUUAAUUAAUUUAAUAUGCCCUUAAAAGCUGUUCCAUGAGCAGAUUUGUUGCUUUGGUUAUCAGGAUUGAAACAUAAUUAUAGAGUUCUGUUUGAUAAGGGAAUAACUUAAAUCUUAAAAUGUGAUUUCAGGGCAUGUCACUUACAUUUGCAGGGAAAGUGUGGAAGUAGGGGUGGGGUGCAGAGUAAAGAAAAGGAACAUACAGCUCCUGUUCCCACAGCAACUUAGAUCUCUGGUAGGUUAAAGGAGAAAGAGAGUAGAUUAGAUAAUUAAGUGUACAUAAAGUUGAUUGGAGGUACACAAGACAGACUCCCCAACUCUCAUCAUGAGCCGCCCGGCUGUUACCAAGAACCACAUACCGGAUUUUUAACGGGUCGUUAGCAAAUUAGUUUUCAUAGUAUUUUCUGCAGCUACCUAGCUCAAAUUCUAGAUGUCAGAUUAAAACGAGACCAUAGCAUCCAUAAAGUGACCAUUAGACUUUGAAAAAAAAUUGUAUUGACUA